UACGUAGGGGGCGAGCGUUGUCCGGAUUUAUUGGGCGUAAAGAGCGUGUAGGCGGUUUGGUAGGUCCGCUGUGAAACUCGAGGCUCAACCUCGAGACGCCGGUGGAAACCAUCAGGCUAGAGUCCGGAAGAGGAGAGUGGAAUUCCUGGUGUAGCGGUGAAAUGCGCAGAUAUCAGGAAGAACACCCGUGGCUAAGGCGGCUCUCUAGUACGGUACUGACGCUGAGACGCGAAAGCGUGGGGAGCGAACAGG
rnacentral:rRNA from 1 species